GUAGGAUUUUUAAUUAGACAACUAUCGAAAUAGACUACAGGAUGAGGAUAUGAACAGUUAUAGGUCUAUUUUUAGAGAAUUUCAGCAAUGAACAGAAUUCAUACUGUUUGGGUAAGCUACAAAAAAAAGCCCUGGCAUGUCAAAAUGUAAAAACAUUUCAAGAGAAAAACCAACAGAUUGAUAUAUCCUGAAAACCAGCAAAAACAAACAAAUAUGGCAGAUAGCAACCAGAUAACAAAUCAAAUCAAAUAUUUUAUUGUCGUAGAAACAUUACAGUUUGUGACCAACAUAUAUUAACACGAUAAACAUAUAUACAUACAUAUCAAACAUACACAAUAAAAACAGCAUCAAAAUUUAUAACAACAAACAAGCUGUUAAGAGUCCCCUGCCCUCAGUUCUAAUGACUUUUUCAAGAAGGAUCCUAACUUAUUUGUUUGUAGAGGCGUUGAUGGAUUUAGUAAAUAAUGAUUUUUUUCUUCUUCAGUUAAAUUAUUAAAGUUAUUAUUUUCAGAACAUAUGUGUUGAAAAAAGGCAUUUCUUAGAGUUUUA
rnacentral:lncRNA from 1 species